rnacentral:rRNA from 1 species
AUGUCGCGCUGGAAGGAAAACAUUUAUCCUGCUCCGCCCCACUACGGCAGCUCUUCCAACCCCUCCCGACUGCUCCCCUGCAAGCGGCCGCUGCAGUCUCCAUGCCCGCCGCCUCGCCGGCCGCUUGCCGAUGUCACGGGCAACGCCCUGCAGCAGCCCGGAUCCGCAGGCGGCGUGGAGGGCAUCGAUUACGGGUACAUCACUCCCCUCCCCAAGGUGCCCAAGUCUUGCGGGUUCCUUCUAGAGGACGACGACAUGGACCAGGCGUUCUUGCUUGAGGUGGACGCCAUCUGCGAGGAGCACUCGCGGUCCAUGGCCGGGAAAGAUAAGGGCAGGGAGAAAGAUUCGACGGUGGAGCGAGGGCCGAUCGUUGUGGCGGCAGCAACCCACGCCGGACCAGAGUGCGGAACGCUUGAGGACGCAUUCUGGACGGAGGCUGCCAUUUUUGAGGAGUGUGAUGCUCAGCCUGCUGCCAAGAGCCAGGAUGAGGAGCUGAAGGAGAUGGUGGAAGAGGAAAGCUCGGUUCUGUCCUGUGGUGAUGAUUCGUUUCUGCCAGCUAUAUCCAUCGCAGAUGACUGUGUUAAGUUGGAGGACACUUUCUGGGAAGUCAAUGUCAAUGCCAUCAGCAAGGAGCACCAUGUCACAUCUUCUGAGAUGAACCAGGAGCACUACGUCACAUCUUCGGCGAUCAACCAGGAUGAGAUAGAUGUGGUGUACGUAGAAGAUGGCUCAGUAGCAUUAUGUGUUGAUUUCCCUCCAGUAAUAUCCAUUGCGGAGGAGGGAGGAGAGGUUGUUGAUGCACUCUUGGGGGAGGUCGAUGUCAUCCAUGAGGGGCAGGUUGCCAUGUCUGCUGCCAAGGGCAAGGAGGAGCCUGGGGAGAUGGGACUAGAAAUGGAGGAAAAUGAAGGGUGUGCCCCAAGGAAGUACUAUGAGUAUUUGCACUCCCUAAACGACAAGCAGAGGAAAGCUGCAUGCAGUGAUGUUGCUGUUCCGUUAAUGAUCGUUGCAGGUCCAGGAAGUGGAAAGACAGUGAAUAUGUAUAAUUAUAAUGUGAUUAACUCUUUCCACAAUAUUGGUUUUCCCAAAUUCGAUAUCCAAAAAGUCAACUAA